rnacentral:rRNA from 2 species
AGAGUUUGAUCCUGGCUCAGGACGAACGCUGGCGGCGCGCCUAACACAUGCAAGUCGAACGAGAGAUGAGGAGCUUGCUCUUCAAAUCGAGUGGCGAACGGGUGAGUAACGCGUGAGGAACCUGCCUCAAAGAGGGGGACAACAGUUGGAAACGACUGCUAAUACCGCAUAAGCCCACGGCUCGGCAUCGAGCAGAGGGAAAAGGAGCAAUCCGCUUUGAGAUGGCCUCGCGUCCGAUUAGCUAGUUGGUGAGGUAACGGCCCACCAAGGCGACGAUCGGUAGCCGGACUGAGAGGUUGAACGGCCACAUUGGGACUGAGACACGGCCCAGACUCCUACGGGAGGCAGCAGUGGGGAAUAUUGCACAAUGGGGGAAACCCUGAUGCAGCGACGCCGCGUGGAGGAAGAAGGUCUUCGGAUUGUAAACUCCUGUUGUUGAGGAAGAUAAUGACGGUACUCAACAAGGAAGUGACGGCUAACUACGUGCCAGCAGCCGCGGU